GACGAACGCUGGCGGCGUGCUUAACACAUGCAAGUCGAACGGAGUGGCGAACGGGUGAGUAACACGUGGGUGAUCUGCCUUGCACUUCGGGAUAAGCUUGGGAAACUGGGUCUAAUACCGGAUAGUGCAAGAUGAGCUCGCGGCCUAUCAGCUUGUUGGUGGGGUAAUGGCCUACCAAGGCGUCGACGGGUAGCCGGCCUGGGAGGGUGUACGGCCACAGUGGGACUGCGAUACCGGCCAGACGCCUACUGUAGGCAGCGGUGGAGAAUAUAGCACAAUAGGCGGAGGCAUGAUGCAGCGACGCCGGGUGGGAGAGGAAGGCCUUCGGGUUGUAAACUCCUUUCGACAGGGACGCGGUACCUGUAUAAGAAGCACCGGCUAACUACGUGCCAGCAGCCGCGGUAAUAC
rnacentral:rRNA from 1 species